UGGUCAGGAAAGAGGAAGGUUGGUUGGUGGAUGGAUAAGUCAGGAAGGUUGGUUGGUGGAUGGGUAAGUCAGGAAGGAUGGAAGGUUGGUUGGUGGAUGGGUAAGUGAGGAAGGUUGGUUGGUGAAUGGGUAAGUGAGGAAGGUUGGUUGGUGGAUGGAUAAGUCAGGAAGGUUGGUUGGUGGAUGGGUAAGUGAGGAAGGUUGGUUGGUGGAUGGAUAAGUCAGGAAGGUUGGUUGGUGGUUGGGAAAGUCAGGAAGGUUGGUUGGUGGAUGUUGGAUGGAAAGUGAGGAAGGUUGGUUGGUGGAUGGAUAAGUCAGGAAGGUUGGUUGGUGGAUGGGAAAGUGAGGAAGGUUGGUUGGUGGAUGGGUAAGUCAGGAAGGUUGGUUGGUGGAUGGGUAAGUGAGGAAGGUUGGUUGGUGGAUGGAUAAGUCAGGAAGGUUGGUUGGUGGAUGGGAAAGUCAGGAAGGUUGGUUGGUGGAUGGGUAAGUCAGGAAGAUUAGUUGGUAAAUGGGUACGUAAGUCAGGAAGAUUAGCAGGUGGAUGGGUAAGUCAGGAAGAUUGCCCAAUUGUAAACCGCAUAUAACGCCAGAAUGAUAUUAUUCUCUUAUAUAUACACACCAAAGAGCAAGCAGGUGAUAAAUUGAGAGAAAUUUAAUGAUGCAAAAACACAGACAUUCAAAGAGGACCACAUUCCAAUGAUAACACAGGCUAUAAAUUAAUAUGUAAGUUGAACCACCCAUGUUAACCCUCUUACACCAGUAUAAAGCACGACAUCUGUGCAAUGACUUAAUCGUGAAAGUCAGACUAUCCAGACAGAAACUCAACGAUACUAACACGUCAAAAACAGAGAGUAACCAGUCUUGGUUAUCCAUCGAAAGAGAUUCCAUUGGGUUUAAUAAGAAAAUAUUGUAAAUCUAUAAGAAUGGAUCACUGAAAACUAGUUCAGAUGUUCUCUUUAAGGGCAGAGACACAAUCUCCAUGUAUGAAGUAGGAAUUGUAGAUUUUCUAUUGAGGAAGAUCUAGGGUAAAUGACACUGAUUUGCAUUUACGAUCACUUAACACACCAUUCAAGGUUGUUUACGAUGCAAAGAUAAUUAUACUUUACAUUUGCCAAUGGUGACCAAUAUCCACAUCGCAAUAGAUUUGUUUCUAUUCUAAUAUCUCCCUAGUAUGGCUUGUCCAAGGACCGUGACCUUGACAGACAAGACAUUGGAGCCAACAUCAGGCUUGGCAUUAGGCUGCUGACCUCCAGCCCAUAUUGUUAUCAUACCUGGAAAAUACAUCAAUCGCCAGGUUUACAAUAGUAAGUG